CACUCUGUCGAGCUUCGUUUUUUCAAUGAUCAGUGUCGGUUUGGAGUCAAAAUUAAGUUUAUCCGGGCCUGUCAAUCUUUCGUUUCUUUGCCACUCUCGUUCACUUUAAUUCAUGUCCUUGAGAUGGAAGAAGCAUCUGAUUCUGAUUCUCUAUAGUCUUUUGAGUGAAAAAUGGGGAUAUAUUUUUACCCUAGCUUCUUCCACUUGUUGAUCCGGAAGAAUUACAUCGAAGUAAGAUCGAUUGGCGCUGAAUUGGGAAAUUAUGGGAAGAGGAAACGGGAUUGUCUAGGAAAAAGAUGAGAUUCAGGUUCCAACGGUUUCAGUAAUUUGAUGGUUAGAGUGGGUUCUUCUAAUGUAUAAACCUUUUCCCAUAUUGAUCGGACAAAAAGGAGAACUUUUGGUAUUUGCCUCCGGUGGGGAUGAAUUUGGUAUACUGCUAUCCAGUUGUAAAUCGAGAUACUUGAUGCUUUUACUUGAACCUGGUUGAUAUACCUAACCCUGCUUAUGAAAAAUAGGAUGUUAAAUAUCAAGUGGUAGAGUAAUCCAAGCACAAUCCAAUCUUCAGAUGAUAUGAGUUGGCUUUUGAUUGGUGUCUUGGAAUAUGACAUAAUCCGACCUGAUUCAUAAAUAGUACAAACAUAAAUUUAUACUAUUUUUAGUAAAAAUAAAUACUAAAUCUUGCAUGACCCAGCUGUACCUAAACCAUUAACUUUAGUUGUAGCUGCAAUCUGAGUUCUGAUAUGAGAGUUCCAAUCUAAGUCAAUUAUUCUCAUGAUCUCUUAAUACCUAUAAAUUAUCAAAUCAUGACAUAAAGCACUGCUUUGAACUUUAUAGAAUGUCUAAACUAUGAAACCUCGUGAUUCGUUUUAGGAAUAAUUGUCCCUAGAUUGAAAGAUAGGCUGAUAUUAUAGUUACUUACAGAAGCCUGUUAUUAAUAUAUGCUAAUGCUUAUUGACCGGUAGAAUACUGCAUAUAAAAACCACUGUGUUAUGUUGCUUGGAAAUUCUUUUUGUUUGUGCUGAGACAAACUUCGUUCUGGAGUCAUGUUAUCGUUUUUUUUUAGACCUUUUUCAGCAUUGAUGUAAACUGAAGCCUAGAUUGGUAGCAUACUGCAUAGACAAUUUUUACUUGUUUUGUCAUAUGUUUUCUUCGGAAUAAUGUUGCCAUGACCCUUUGCAUGUUUUGCUUCAAAAAGUUGGUACUGAUUCAAGUGGUUUUAUUUUUAUAGACACCAAAAAAAUCUGUCAAAUAUUUUCGAAAGAUAUUGCCUUUUGACAUUGAUGGUGCUGAUCCUUGCCUUGAACUAGCGUAUGCAAACAGGCACACCAUUAUUUUGAUGCAAUCAUCUCCGAACAGGGCAACCAGAACAUUCAUGGACUAUGACUCUAUUAGCCAGGCUAUGGAUGGAAUUUGUGGGUUGUACGAAAGAAAACUCAAGGAGAUAAAUCCAACCAUCCAAAACAUCACCUACGACAUUUCAGAUCUUUAUAAUUUUAUCGAUGGCCUAGCAGACCUCAGCGCACUGAUGCAACUUUGACCACUCAAUUCAGGCGUUUCUACCAUAUGACCGGCUGUGGAUCAAACAACGGAUGUUUCAGCACCUCAAGAGAUUGGCUUCAAGUUAAAUUCCGCUAGAAAAAUAUAGGAUGAACAAUGUGCCUCACUGCACUAUGCUAUUACUCACUGUUCAAAUAGAAGGGAGCAUAUAUUGGUACAGAAUUCUGUUAUUAGAAUCUGAGUUUUUUUGUUCAUCUGCUUAAUGUGGUUUACUGUUGAUAUAUUUAGAACUGAUGUCUGCCUUUGUACUCUUUUCCAGUUUCUUCAUUAAGAUGAUUAGUAUUAUAAA